rnacentral:tRNA from 1 species
UGGGGCGUAGCCAAGUGGUAAGGCACCGGGUUUUGGUCCCGGCAUGCGAUGGUUCGAUCCCAUCCGCCCCAG